GUGCACCAGUCGCGAAAACUCUGCAAUACGCGAAAGCGUGACAGGGCUACCCCGAGUGUCGUCCGCUGAGGACGACUUUUCUACGCUGUAAGGAGGCGGGGGAAUAAGGAGAGGGCAAGUCUGGUGUCAGCCGCCGCGGUAAUACCAGCUCUCCGAGUGGUAGGGACGUUUAUUGGGCUUAAAGCGUCCGUAGCCGGCUCAACAAGUCUCCCGUUAAAUCCAACGAUUCAAUCGUUCGACUGCGGGAGAGACUGCUCGACUAGGAGGCGAGAGAGGCCGACGGUAUUCCCGGAGUAGGGGUGAAAUCCUAUAAUGCCGGGAGGACCACCAGUGGCGAAGGCUGUCGGCUAGAACGCGCUCGACGGUGAGGGACGAAGGCCGGGGGAGCGAACCGGAUUAGAUACCCCUGUAGUCC
rnacentral:rRNA from 1 species